AUGGCUCAGUGCACUCAGCUGAUCCAGACCACCUCCGCCCAUGGUGCCCCUCCUAUCUCCGCUCCUCCCUCCCCACCCUCGGUCUUAUGGGCCCCUCUUGUCCAAGCUCCUCUCCAGGCUGCGGCCGCCACAACGCCCCUUGCUCUCGCCCUGGCCCAUCACACCCAAUUUCCCCCCAUCCUUUUCCACCACCCUCUGACUCACAGUGCAUCCUUCAAAGAGCACCACCCUCUGACACACAGUGCAUCCUUCAAAGAGCACCACCCUCUGACUCACAGCGCAUCCUUCAAAGAGCACCAUUCAAAGAGGGUCCAUGUGGGACAAUCUGGCGGCGGGUCAGGGCCUAGUUCACCUGUCUGUUCCUCUAAACUCCCCACAGUUUUGGAGAUUCCCGGCGUGACGUCACUCAGGACUUCCCUUUGUGGGACGGUCUCUCCGACUAUGCCUGCUCAGCCCAUCUUCACCAGCAGCAUGCAGCCUCUUAUCCCUUUCCCGCAACCCCCGCAUCACAUUUCCUCUGUACUUCCCAUGGGUCAGUCCACUGUGUCCUACACCUGCUCCACUCAGCCGCACCCUCAAGCUUUCCCAAGCAGCAUACCCAGUGCACAUCUCCCAUUUUUCCAGCAGGCGGCCGCAGCGAUGUUACCUGGCAGAUUUUUGCCUCCCCCUUCCUCGGCGUCUGUUAUAAGCCCCCUGAUCUCCAGCUCGGUGGGUCCCAUCCUGAGCCAGCUGCAGCAAAGCUCACAUGCCACAGUGCAGCAGAUGGGAGCGGGUCAUCAUGACAAAGCUGUUAGGACAUCCAGCGGCCCAAAUCUCUCUUAUUUCCCCAUAGUCACCAGCGGACUGCCCUCUAGUGGACUCAUCGCAGGAGCAGCUGCGUCUCUGGCCCAGCACAGUCUCACCGGGCUCCACUCUGCCUUCCUGCCCCAAGUCCUACCUGAGCACUCCGCCUUGGCAUCCCUCACCCAAUAUGGGUCGGCUGAGUGCUCCCCUUGUUACACCCCUCCCAUCCCCAGCCCGAGCGUCCAAAGCCCUGUUAAAGCCAGGACAGUUCACGGCAACCCGCUCGUUCCUCAAGCGUCUUGUGCCGCUCGAAUGGACAGUGCACAGAGUGGACCAGACCCUCCAGAGUCCUUCGGGGAACUUUUUAACCAGGAAAUAAAGACAAUCUCAGGCUCGCACAGCGCUAUACACCGAGAAAGGCCUUUGGCAAUGGGUGGAUUCUCAGAAGGGACUUCUAGCCCAUUCUCCUCCCCCAUUUCUGUCUGUAAACCCCACAGCCCCAUUCCAGGACAUUCCACUCCUUCUGGUCAAACGCAUUUGGCAUUUGAACCUCAAAAUAAGCUAACAAUGCCCCACUCUCCACAUACCCAAUCCUCAUCACCAUCUGAAAUGUUAGAGAAAGAAAACACAGAGUCAACCCUCCCCUCAAACUUGUGA
rnacentral:lncRNA from 1 species